ensembl:snRNA U6 U6 spliceosomal RNA
GUGCUCACUUAGGCAGCACAUAUACUAAAAUCAGAACAAUACAGAGAAGAUUAGCAUGGCCCCUGCAUAAGGAGGACGCUCAAAUUCAUGAAGUGUUCCGUAUUUUU